rnacentral:rRNA from 1 species
GGAUCGUAAAACUCUGUUGUUAGGGAAGAACAAGUACCGUUCGAAUAGGGCGGUCCCUUGACGGUACCUAACCAGAAAGCCACGGCUAACUACGUGCCAGCAGCCGCGGUAAGUACGUAGGUGGCAAGCGUUGUCCGGAAUUAUUGGGCGUAAAGCGCGCGCAGGCGGUUUCUUAAGUCUGAUGUGAAAGCCCCCGGCUCAACCGGGGAGGGUCAUUGGAAACUGGGGAACUUGAGUGCAGAAGAGGAGAGUGGAAUUCCACGUGUAGCGGUGAAAUGCGUAGAGAUGUGGAGGAACACCAGUGGCGAAGGCGACUCUCUGGUCUGUAACUGACGCUGAGGCGCGAAAGCGUGGGGAGCGAACAGGAUUAGAUACCCUGGUAGUCCACGCCGUAAACGAUGAGUGCUAAGUGUUAGAGGGUUUCCGCCCUUUAGUGCUGCAGCAAACGCAUUAAGCACUCCGCCUGGGGAGUACGGUCGCAAGACUGAAACUCAAAGGAAUUGACGGGGGCCCGCACAAGCGGUGGAGCAUGUGGUUUAAUUCGAAGCAACGCGAAGAACCUUACCAGGUCUUGACAUCCUCUGACAACCCUAGAGAUAGGGCUUCCCCUUCGGGGGCAGAGUGACAGGUGGUGCAUGGUUGUCGUCAGCUCGUGUCGUGAGAUGUUGGGUUAAGUCCCGCAACGAGCGCAACCCUUGAUCUUAGUUGCCAGCAUUCAGUUGGGCACUCUAAGGUGACUGCCGGUGACAAACCGGAGGAAGGUGGGGAUGACGUCAAAUCAUCAUGCCCCUUAUGACCUGGGC